rnacentral:rRNA from 1 species
AGCGAACGCUGGCGGCAGGCCUAACACAUGCAAGUCGAACGGAUCCUUCGGGAUUAGUGGCGGACGGGUGAGUAACACGUGGGAACGUGCCCUUUGGUUCGGAACAACUCAGGGAAACUUGAGCUAAUACCGGAUGUGCCCUUCGGGGGAAAGAUUUAUCGCCAUUGGAGCGGCCCGCGUCUGAUUAGCUAGUUGGUGCGGUAAAGGCUCACCAAGGCGACGAUCAGUAGCUGCUCUGAAAGGAGGAUCAGCCACAUUGGGACUGAGACACGGCCCAAACUCCUACGGGAGGCAGCAGUGGGGAAUCUUGCGCAAUGGGCGAAAGCCUGACGAAGCCAUGCCGCGUGAAUGAUGAAGGUCUUAGGAUUGUAAAAUUCUUUCACCGGGGACGAUAAUGACGGUACCCGGAGAAGAAGCCCCGGCUAACUUCGUGCCAGCAGCCGCCGUAAAAC